AGUGAACGCUGGCGGUAGGCCUAACACAUGCAAGUCGAACGGCAGCACAGUAAGAGCUUGCUCUUACAGGUGGCGAGUGGCGGACGGGUGAGGAAUACAUCGGAAUCUACUUUUUCGUGGGGGAUAACGUAGGGAAACUUACGCUAAUACCGCAUACGACCUACGGGUGAAAGCAGGGGAUCUUCGGACCUUGCGCGAUUGAAUGAGCCGAUGUCGGAUUAGCUAGUUGGCGGGGUAAAGGCCCACCAAGGCGACGAUCCGUAGCUGGUCUGAGAGGAUGAUCAGCCACACUGGAACUGAGACACGGUCCAGACUCCUACGGGAGGCAGCAGUGGGGAAUAUUGGACAAUGGGCGCAAGCCUGAUCCAGCCAUACCGCGUGAGUGAAGAAGGCCUUCGGGUUGUAAAGCCCUUUUGUUGGGAAAGAAAAGCAGCAGGUUAAUACCCCGCUGUUCUGACGGUACCCAAAGAAUAAGCACCGGCUAACUUCGUG
rnacentral:rRNA from 1 species